AAUUCGUGUGCAUUAUUUAUUUUGUUUUUUCAUUAUCUUCUGCAUCGUUUUAGGGUUGCGUUUCUACAUUUAUCUCCACCAUUUCUUGCCAUUUUGGAACGCUACAAAGUUCACCCCUUCUGCUUUCUACAUUUAUCUCCACCAUUUCUUGCCAUUUUGGAACUCUACAAAGUUCACCCAUUCUGCUCAACUCGAAGUAAGCUUCACUUCUUUCUCCGGCCUCUUUGCUCUUUUUGGGCAUCGAAGGAGAAGGUUCAGAUGAAACAGAAAAAGCGACAAUCCUUCGAGAAGGGAAUUUCAAUUCAGGACAUUCUAUUAAGCAAGUGGCUCUCAAUUCGUGUUAUGUUUUCGAAUUUCUCCCACCAAAUCAAAGGUUGAUGCUCAUCAUAGAAAUGGCUGCAACUCUCGCUGGCAGCACCAUCGUUCAACCCAAGACUGUUUCUUCUAGAACACUAGCAAGUCCUCACGUUCUCUCAAGAAUCUCUUCUCCUGCAAAAACUAUAUAUGGAUCUUUAGAAUUUCGAAACAAACGUUUUCGAGUCUCUGGAUUAGGUGCUAUCCCUUGCACGGUGAAUGCUUCCGUUUCCAUUGAGGAUAAGAAGGUUGAUAAUCCAAUCGUUGUCAUCGAUAAUUAUGACAGCUUCACUUACAAUCUUUGCCAGUAUAUAGGAGGCCUGGGUUGCAAAUUUGAGGUUUACCGAAAUGAUGAACUUACUGUGGAGGAGUUAAAGAAGAAGAAUCCAAGAGGAGUGCUUAUAUCCCCAGGACCAGGUAAACCUCAAGAUUCAGGGAUAUCAUUACAAACUGUUUUGAAGCUUGGACCCACAGUACCUUUAUUUGGUGUAUGUAUGGGAUUACAGUGCAUAGGGGAAGCUUUUGGGGGAAAGAUUGUGCGCUCUCCUUCCGGUGUAAUGCAUGGGAAAAGUUCUCUUGUAUACUAUGAUGAAAAGGGAGAAGAUGGUCUGUUCUCGGGAUUGCCUAAGUCUAGAUACAUAACGUCAAUAUUAUUAAGGCAUGCACUUCAUGCAUGUUCCUUACACAGCUACGCCGUAAUCAAGAGGCACACUCCUUAUGUAAAGUGCUUCACUGAGCCCUUUCACUGCUGCUAGAUACCAUAGUCUUGUGAUCGAAAAUGAGAGUUUUCCUAGUAAUGAACUUGAGAUUACAGCAUGGACAGAGGAUGGAUUGAUAAUGGCUGCUCGUCACAAAAAAUAUAGGCAUCUUCAGAAGUUGUGGAAUUGAUUGCAGCUAUUAUAAAGUUCAGAAGUCUUUAGCAUCUCUUCUGCCAGGUAUAGAUGGGAAAUCCCUAACCACAUAAAUCCAUUGAUAAGAGUUUCCGAUGUUGUUUCGUUCUGCUGAGCCCAGGGAUGUUAUCAGAUUGUGAUUAGUGGCCUGAAGGGUGGCUGCAAAAGGGCCCAAAGGUUUCCAUCAAUCGUUUGAUCUUUCUCAUUUGUGAGAAUAUAUGCACAACUGAUGCUGGUUCCACUGACUUGAGGACAAACUUGAGUGUCCCAGUGUAUAGUGAUCGUUAUCAGGCAUGUAAAUCCUUGGAUCUAUCUGGUUUGAAUAGCAGAUGAAGCUGCUUCCACGCUCUAAAAGAUCAGCACAUUUCUGGUGUUAUACUAUGAUUGUAUGGUUGGAACCUUUCUUUCUCACUCUUUCUUAACUCUUACCUCAAUGAUCAAAACAUCCAAGUUGGCCACCACUGGUGCUCACAGCUCUUUCACAACAGUACAGAAGAGAUGAAAAUAUGACAAAGAUGGAGAUAUGGUCACAGGCGUGGCGUGGCAUCUCUUCCUUUUUUCUCUUUAUGUGUGAGAUAGCAUGUCGAUGACAAUGUUGAUGGAGACCUAGAUGUCUGUUGUGUGAUGUCUAUUCCCCUAAUCCUUUGAACCUUACCUGAUUAAAUUCAAAUCCUUGUGUGGUUGAGAUACUUGGUUUAGAUAAUGGAUACCUAAGUUGCAUUUCGUUCA